AAAAUUACUCUUUCCCUCACUCUUAUACUUUCCUUCAAAACCGAAAACUCAAAUAUACUAAAAGGAAAAAAGAUGUGCUGUUCAAGAAAAGAAGAAAACGAUACAUGAUACAUCGAUUCAUUCGAAUAUCAAAUUCCAUAUUUACAUCCUUAAUCCUUAAUUUGUACAACCUAUCUUUGUUCAAAUUAAAAUCAUCCAUAUCCACAAUCAAAAUCUAAUAGCAACUUUAACCAAACAAAUCAUCCAAUCAUUACCAUCCUUAUAUGGGUUGACUAACUCUUGUUCGGAUUAUAUCCCGGUCACAGGCACAGUAGGUGGUGGUUGCACAGUGGUGGUCAGCGGCACAGCAGUAGAAUCAUCUGGGUUAUAUAGAGUUGGAAUAAAGGUUAUAGAAGGAAGAAGAAAUGGGAGGCGGUUCGGUGGUUAUGGAGUAGCGGUGGAGGUGGCCGGUCUGAGUACUUCACAGAUAGAAAAGUGAGGUGUUGAUGUGUGUAUGUUUUUAAAUUUACUAUAAACUUAUCUUUAGUUUUGUUAUUGGAUAUGAAAUUUGUGGAUUGAUUAAUGUUUUGAGAAUAAAUGUUUUAUGAGUAUAUGGUUUUGCUCUUUUGGAAAGAAAAA